UUUAAUCAGAGAGUUUGAUCCUGGCUCAGGAUGAACGCUGGCGGCGUGCUUAACACAUGCAAGUCGAACGGGAA
rnacentral:rRNA from 2 species